GUAGCUCUUAUGGGGCUGUGCUCUGGUUUUGUGCUGAAAAUGGUGUUAAUAACAAGGAGGUUUUCAGCAUUGCACAUAGUUUUCUGCUUCUCACCCCACCAGAGAGAAGACUGGAGGUACACAAGGUGUUGGUCAAGCGACAGCUGACCCCAACCAAUAAGAAGAAUAUUACAUUACAGCAACUUACAUUAUUACAACGUUGUGUUCAGCAAUAAAAUUACUACGAGAGGUUUUCAGGCGUGUUGUAGUCCAGGGACUGUCUGGACUUGGCUGGUGGAGAAGGAAUGAAUCUUCAUCUAUCUCCACAGAGGAAUUUUGCAUGUAAAAAAAGAACGAUGUAGCUUCUUAGGACUUCCAUCUGUCAGAAAUCACACUUUAAAGAAAAAUUAUUAAGUGCAGAGGAAUGCACAUAUAUGCAUACUAGAAAUGAAAGGCUUUCUCACAGCUUUGUUAGUUUCAAGUGCAAGCUCACUGCUUUAACCAGAGCCCCAUCCAGGUGCUCAGAAGUACAGUUCUGGAGCUGGAUGCUGGGAGGAGGAGGAGCACAUGUCAGUGUUAUGGUUAUCAGAUGUCAGUGCUUGGAGGAGUGGAAGAGACAGAAACCUGAUUGUGUAAAUGCAAGGACCCCAGGACCAAAUUCAUAUUUAUGGUCACAAUGGAAUUAAGAGAUUUUGCAAGAUCAUUGAAAUCCCACUCAGCUCCUUGUGAUAAUGAACUCAGGAUAAUAAUCCUACACUGACAAACCAUGCACAGGUGCCUUGAAGGUUGCUGCUCAUGUCAUCCUCCCUCUCUUUCUGCCAUUUGGAGGCAAAACCCCAUUCUCCUUUAACUGCAAGUGAAAAGCUGCACUUUCUUGAAUCUCCAGCCCUUGCAUUUGUUAUAAACUCUGCAUGGUAAAGGUUUGCUUGUGAUCUAAACCACAGGCAGUUUUCCAUUGUUUCAGCUGAAGCAAAAGUCAUGUUUGUCUUGUGCAGCUGGGAUGCUCCAAAAUUCAGAGUUAAUCUGUUUACCUGAAUUUCAACCUAUAAAAUGAUUA
rnacentral:lncRNA from 1 species